rnacentral:rRNA from 1 species
UACGAAGGGGGCUAGCGUUGUUCGGAAUUACUGGGCGUAAAGAGCUCGUAGGCGGUCUGUCGCGUCGGCUGUGAAAUCCCGGGGCUCAACCCCGGGCCUGCAGUCGAUACGGGCAGACUAGAGUGCGGUAGGGGAGACUGGAAUUCCUGGUGUAGCGGUGAAAUGCGCAGAUAUCAGGAGGAACACCGGUGGCGAAGGCGGGUCUCUGGGCCGUAACUGACGCUGAGGAGCGAAAGCGUGGGGAGCAAACAGG